GUGGAUGUAGCUCAGUUGGUUAGAGCAUCAGGUUGUGGCCCUGGGGGUCGUGGGUUCGAAUCCCAUCAUUCACC
rnacentral:tRNA from 1 species